rnacentral:rRNA from 1 species
UAGCGGACGGGUGAGUAACACGUAAGAAUUUGCCUUUAGGAGGGGGAUAACAACUGGAAACGGUUGCUAAUACCCCAUAUGCUUUCGAGUGAAAUGAAUUUUUCCGCCUAGAGAGAAGCUUGCGGCUGAUUAGCUUGUUGGUGAGGUAAUGGCUUACCAAGGCGACGAUCAGUAUCUGGUUUGAGAGGACGAUCAGACACACUGGAACUGAGACACGGCCCAGACUCCUACGGGAGGCAGCAGUGGGGAAUUUUCCGCAAUGGGCGAAAGCCUGACGGAGCAACGCCGCGUGAGGGAUGAAGGCCUCUGGGCUGUAAACCUCUUUUAUCAAGGAAGAAGAUCUGACGGUACUUGAUGAAUAAGCCACGGCUAAUUCCGUGCCAGCAGCCGCGGUAAUACGGGAGUGGCAAGCGUUAUCCAGAAUUAUUGGGCGUAAAGCGUCCGCAGGCGGCCCUUCAAGUCUGCUGUUAAAAAGUGGAGCUUAACUCCAUCAUGGCAGUGGAAACUGUUGGGCUUGAGUGUGGUAGGGGCAGAGGGAAUUCCCGGUGUAGCGGUGAAAUGCGUAGAUAUCGGGAAGAACACCAGUGGCGAAGGCGCUCUGCUGGGCCAUCACUGACGCUCAUGGACGAAAGCCAGGGGGGCGAAAGGGAUUAGAUACCCCUGUAGUCCUGGCCGUAAACGAUGAACACUAGGUGUCGGGGGAAUCGACCCCCUCGGUGUCGUAGCCAACGCGUUAAGUGUUCCGCCUGGGGAGUACGCACGCAAGUGUGAAACUCAAAGGAAUUGACGGGGGCCCGCACAAGCGGUGGAGUAUGUGGUUUAAUUCGAUGCAACGCGAAGAACCUUACCAGGGUUUGACAUCCUGCGAAUCUCUUGGAAACAGGAGAGUGCCUUCGGGAACGCAGUGACAGGUGGUGCAUGGCUGUCGUCAGCUCGUGUCGUGAGAUGUUGGGUUAAGUCCCGCAACGAGCGCAACCCACGUCUUUAGUUGCCAGCAUUUAGUUGGGCACUCUAGAGAGACUGCCGGUGAUAAACCGGAGGAAGGUGUGGAUGACGUCAAGUCAUCAUGCCCCUUACAUCCUGGGCUACACACGUACUACAAUGCUACGGACAAAGGGCAGCAAGUUCGCGAGGACAAGCAAAUCCCAUAAACCGUGGCUCAGUUCAGAUCGUAGGCUGCAACUCGCCUACGUGAAGGCGGAAUCGCUAGUAAUCGCAGGUCAGCAUACUGCGGUGAAUACGUUCCCGGGCCUUGUACACACCGCCCGUCACACCAUGGAAGUUGGCCACGCGCGAAGCCGUUACUCCAACCCUUGUGGAGGAGGACGUCGAAGGUGGGGCUGAUGACUGGGGUGAAGUCGUAACA